rnacentral:rRNA from 1 species
GGUGCAGCAGGCGCGAAACCUUUACACUGCACGACAGUGCGAUAGGGGGAUCCCAAGUGCACAGGCAUAGCGCCUGUGCUUUUCGGCACCCUAAGGCGGUGCCAGAAUAAGGGCUGGGCAAGACCGGUGCCAGCCGCCGCGGUAAUACCGGCAGCCCAAGUGAUGGCCGAUCUUAUUGGGCCUAAAGCGUCCGUAGCUGGCCGCGCAAGUCCAUCGGGAAAUCCACCUGCUCAACAGGUGGGCGCCCGGUAGAAACUGCGUGGCUUGGGACCGGAAGGCGCGACGGGUACGUCCGGGGUAGGAGUGAAAUCCCGUAAUCCUGGACGGACCGCCGAUGGCGAAAGCACGUCGCGAGAACGGAUCCGACAGUGAGGGACGAAAGCCAGGGUCUCGAACCGGAUUAGAUACCCGGGUAGUCCUGGCCGUAAACAAUGUCUGCUAGGUGUGGCUCCCACUACGAGUGGGUGCUGUGCCGUAGGGAAGCCGCUAAGCAGACCGC